rnacentral:rRNA from 1 species
UACGUAGGGCGCAAGCGUUGUCCGGAAUUAUUGGGCGUAAAGAGCUCGUAGGCGGCCUGUCACGUCGGCUGUGAAAACCCGAGGCUCAACCUCGGGCCUGCAGUCGAUACGGGCAGGCUAGAGUUCGGUAGGGGAGACUGGAAUUCCUGGUGUAGCGGUGAAAUGCGCAGAUAUCAGGAGGAACACCGGUGGCGAAGGCGGGUCUCUGGGCCGAAACUGACGCUGAGGAGCGAAAGCGUGGGGAGCGAACAGG